ensembl:lncRNA
CGCUCACCCGCAGGUGCUCUGCCCGGCUCCGACGCCCGCAGGGGCUCGGGCACCCGCGGCCGCCGCGACUGCCCCUUACCGCGCUGACUAAGGCGGGCGGUGGCUGCGGGUCCGCACCGCCCCGCACAGGCGGGGCAGGAGGCGGCUCGCUCCCGCCCAGGGCCGCCGGGGGGUCUGGGAGCCCCACCACCCCCCCGGCGAGUACGGGAGUGCGGGUAGCGGUAAGGGAGCGGCAGCAGGGGCUGCGCGUUUCCUUACGUCUCGGGUUGCCGGUUAACGGGGGUGAUACCUUUUCGAGUCCUGAAGAAGUCUACCGCAAGCAGCGAGCAGAUAGUAUAGUACUCUUGGCCACUUUGGGCUAGAGAAUCACUUUGGUUUUUCCAGCCUCUACUGCCUUCAUUUCUGACCUGUGAUUUCACCAGAUGGCGAACAACAUAACUGUAUUUGUGGGGAAUACAAAGAUUAUUUCUCUUGCUGUUUUACAUCCCAGACUUGGUACGAGCAAGCACAGAUGUGUCUUUUGUGCAGGAGAGGGAAGGAAGAGAGAGCCAAAUGAAAAAUCCUGAAUGACAACAUCUCCAAGUAUCACAGCAGUACCUUCUAAAGCUGGAAGAUAAAGCUGAUGAGGUGGUUACCAUGGCUACAGAAGCGGCAUAUUUGAAUGAAAAUUGAUUUUAAGCUUUUAAAUGCUAAUUGCAUCUGUGAACAGGUGACAUUUGAAAUAUCUUUUUCUCCCUCCUCCCUCCCCCCAUAUGUUGCAGAGUAUAAUGAGUGAAAGAAGAGGGUGACAAAGGUGACAACACACUGUUAAAUUAGAACACUGAUACAGUCUUCAACACUAAAGUAUGUCACACCAUUUGCUUGUGUAGUAGUACAAGUAAUAAGUGAACACAUAUAUAGAUCACAGUGUCUGAGGAGCAGAAACUGUCUAGAACCCAAUUAAUAUAUUUUUCAUGGUAUUGUGAAAAAUUAAACAGCUUUAUUUAAAUUAAUCACCAGAACAAUUGUUUCUGGUAGCUCAUAAUAAAGAGGCUAUUAAAACUUACCAUUCAGAAACUGCUAUAAAUUCUCAGUGAUGAGGAAGCUUUGCAAAUGCCUGGAAUUAGAAGCAUUUCUUAUUUCACUCUGUACACUGGGAAAUAAAGUUGAACUUCUACACAGUAGUAGACUCAGACUAGGGAACCAAGAUGCUGUGUAGACUGGUGUUACUGUGCAACUGCUGCUAAUUGCUGUCACACCACUGUCUGACCACACUCAGGCUGUAGUUGCAGAAGACAUAGAAGGUGUAAUUUACCUCACUGUAAGCAUAGUUUUAAUAUGAUCUGAAAGCUCUUUAACUUGCAGUGGGUUACAUUCCACUUGUUAGCGCUUGCUUUUCGAAACACUCUUGAUAUGAUUACUGUUUAAGACAUGAUCAGUUGUAAUGCAGAUUUAUAUUUUGUUAAAUUAAUUGUAAAAUUGUAAAUAAAAAUUGUAAAUCUGUGAGGGGUUUCAGAUUAUUUUAGUUUUUUGUUUGUUUGUUUGUUUUUCAUUUUUGUUUUUUAAUAUGCAGUGUGAGAAAUCUGGUGGUUUUGGCUGUG